rnacentral:rRNA from 1 species
UACAGAGGUCUCAAGCGUUGUUCGGAUUCAUUGGGCGUAAAGGGUGCGUAGGCGGUGGGGCAAGUCAGGUGUGAAAUCCCGGAGCUCAACUCCGGAACUGCACUUGAUACUGCCUUGCUAGAGUACUGGAGAGGAGACUGGAAUUUACGGUGUAGCAGUGAAAUGCGUAGAGAUCGUAAGGAAGGCCAGUGGCGAAGGCGAGUUCCUGGACAGUUACUGACGCUGAGGCACGAAGGCCAGGGGAGCAAACGGG